UUAGUUGCGGAUUGCGGAGCGUCUGCGUCAUUCGACUCCCACAGCUGGAAGCGCGAGGAUUAUCGUAUUGUCUGCCAGUUUCUAGCUUAGAGCAUCCGCGUGGCGCGCUUCGCCCGCCCGUCUUCGAUCCACACACGACUUCGGUUGUUGAAUAACGGCGCGUAAUCGUUUGUUUUCCGUACGGUUAUUUCUGUUAUCACGUGACAAGUGAUUUCCGGAUGGUUGUACAGUGACGACUGGUUUGUAAACAAUAUUAUUGCUCUGCAGUCUGGAAUAUAACCGUCAGUAAUUGGAUUGCUGUGAACUGCAUUUGGUGUCUGAUUGUCUGCUAUUUAUUUAUAUUUUCAUUCUCACCACGACGAACUAAGAAAAGACAGAAUAAUGGAGACUUGUCAAGUUCACCAGAGGCUUACGGCGGUUAUGUCACAAAAAUCGGUGUGGUCUUCUCUUGUGAUCGUCCUAGCAGCG